rnacentral:rRNA from 1 species
CUGGCGGCGUGCUUAACACAUAGCAAGUCGAAACGCGAAAGGGACUUCGGUCCUGAGUAAAGUGGCGCACGGGUGAGUAACGCGUAGAUAACCUGUCUUCAUGUCUGGAAUAAUACGCCGAAAGGGGUACUAAUACCGGAUAUUCUUGCUUUUCAUAAGUUAUGCAAGCAAAGGUGGCCUCUGCAUAUGCUACUGCAUGAAGAGGGGUCUGCGUACCAUUAGCUAGUGGGUGGGGUAAUGGCCUACCUAGGCGACGAUGGUUAGCGGGUCUGAGAGGAUGGUCCGCCACACUGGCACUGGAACACGGGCCAGACUCCUACGGGAGGCAGCAGUGAGGAAUAUUGCGCAAUGGGGGAAACCCUGACGCAGCGACGCCGCGUGAGUGAAGGAAGGCCUUCGGGUCGUAAAGCUCUGUCAAGAGGAAAGAAGUGUACAAUGGCUAAUACCUGUUGUAUUUGACGGUACCUCUAAAGGAAGCACCGGCUAACUCCGUGCCAGCAGCCGC